rnacentral:rRNA from 1 species
UACGGAGGGUGCAAGCGUUAUCCGGAUUUACUGGGUUUAAAGGGCGCGUAGGCGGCCAUUCAAGUGACGGGUGAAAGCCCUCGGCUUAACCGAGGAACUGCCUGUCAGACUGGAUGGCUUGAGACCGGGAGAGGUGAGUGGAAUUCCCAGUGUAGCGGUGAAAUGCGUAGAUAUUGGGGAGGAACACCGAUGGCGAAGGCAAUCCCCUGGGCCUGCACUGACGCUCAUGCACGAAAGCGUGGGAGCAAACAGG